GACGUUUUCGAAGUCAGCCUUACUUUCAGAUCUCAGUUGCAUAACAAAAAACUUACUCCUCAAAUCUUUUCGCGAAAGUCUGUUCAGGGUGACAAAUACUUUAUAGCAGGACUUAGAAGCAUAGCAGCAAAGAAUACUCAAUACUCCAGAGGAUGUAAAAACAUAAUGGAAGCAUACGUAUACCAUAGUACGUACAAUGCAACACGACGCGCAAGACCAGUUCCUAUAGUACUCAUCAAGGAUUCAUCAACCUACAAGGAAUAUGUUCAACAAGCAACAAUAAACAACGGCAAGCAAGGUCAACAACUCCAACAGCAAGAACAACGAUUCAAUAUUUUCCGAAAUCCCUUAAACCAUUUUAGGAAACGAAAUCGAGAAGAUUAAUUUUAUCCAGCAACGAUUGAAAGACAGGAAACUGAACUAAAUCACCAGACACAAGUGCAAUAAUGAUUCCCUCUACAAUGAACCAUUAACUAAUGAACACAGCCGUCAGGAACCGGAUGGCAAUCCAGUAUAUUUAUUAAUAGAGACAGGGUUUAAAGAAAAUUAUGUAAGUACUAAGUAUCCAUAUGCUAAGAAAAUUAAAUUAUCCAAACAAUUAAACACAAAAACUUUGCAUGGGAAUGCAAUAAUUACCCUUAAAAAAGAGAUCAAUUAAUUAGGGUUUGAUAUGGAUAUCUUGGAGCUAGAUAAACUCUAGGAUUAUAAUUUCAUAAUAGGCAUUUAAGGAUUAAACUAAAUGUAAGCAGAUAUCAACAUUUUCGACUACUCCAUUAGCUUCUUCCAAAUAAAACCUAAUCUACACUGUAAGAAAACAAGAAUAUGAAGAUAUUAAAACUCUAAUGCAAAAUAAUCAUAAUAAUGAACUAUUACCAUAUGUUACAACCAUAGAAACAAAAAUUAGGACCGAAACAAAGGAACCGGUAUGGGUAAGACAAUAUCCCUAUCCACAGACUGAGAGAGGAUUCGUAGAAGAGGGAAUUAAUAAAUAAUAAAAAAUAAAAUAAUACUAGCAAAAGCCCAUAUAAUUCCCCUAUUUGGACAGUCUCAAAGAAAGGAACCGAUGAGGCAAAAAAAUCAAAAAGAAAAAUUCAGAAACUGAAUAAAGUCACCGAAAACUAGAUAAUAAAAGAGAAUUCCACAAAAUACUAGAAGAAGUUCUCACUUAUGUUUACUCAUUUUUAACUCAACUCAUGAGUGACAAUGAGUCAAUAUUUAAAAGCAUAGCGUCAAAAGCACUGUACGAAAAACUACAUAUGUAUAUAGCAUACAGAGAAAUGUAGUAGAUCAACUUUUUGUGAAAAAGUAUUUGUAACGGAAAACAUUAAUGAAAACUUUCAAGAACCACCUCAGAGGUUGCAAUGUAGGCGCGCUAUCGAUCUUUUUUGGGUGUUCGGUUCCCCAGGAGGCCUAUUUUCACCCUUUUUAUAUAUACAGUUUUAAAUCAAUCUACUUAUUAUAAAAAAUAUGACUAGACAAAAAUAAAUAUAUAAAAUCAGGUACAAUUCAUGAAUAUUAAUUACAUUAAAAAUAUAACAUUAACAAUAUAUGUCAAAACAAUCAACUGGAAACUCUUUAAACAAAAGCCAAAAUAAAUAUAAAAAAAAUCAGAUUCCAUUGUAUGUAUACAUUAACAAUACAAGUCAAAACAAUCAACUUGUAAUUAUUAAGCAGAAACUAAAAUAAAUAUAAAAAAUCAGGUACAAUUCAGGAACAACAACAGUUAUAUUCAAAACAAUCUACUAAGUAAUAAAUAAUAUUUACAAAAUAUUCUAAAUCACCCACAGCGAAAUACUUAUUAAAAACCCUAUCAAAGGAAUAGUGGUGGAAAGAAGGGUCCUAUAUCCUAUCUACGUCCACAUUUACCUCGAUUUGUAUAUUUUGAAAUGAGGUAGAAUUGGAAUUUGAAAAGUUUGCCAAGAGGUAUUUUGAACCAAAGCGUCGUUGCAGGCGCUUUUGAGGGAGCUAUUAGAAAAUGACUCACACUGGUCAACUGGCAAGAGUUCUACACAACGAAUAUAUCCUAUACCCCAGGCUUGUCUGAAAAGAGAUGAGAAACGCUGCGGAGUUAUUAUCACAUCUCACUGGGCGCCCAUUUACAACUACUUUAUUUUUUUUUUAUUUUCUAAGCAGUUUCGUGUACUUUUUAAAAUGUGAGGAGAAUCAAAGAAGUAAAUGACUUCCGAGUCAUUCACUUCGAAAUAGGGCCUUUCUUUACAUACUCCUUAUAACCUAGCAAAAUUAACAAAAUUUGACCAUUGGUUGCUAACUAUUUGGCAGGGACGCAAUCCAAUACCCUGGAGUUGACCUAUGGCUUCGAAUAUAUUUUUUUUCAUAAUAUCUCCUUUGCAAGCUUUGUGCACAAAAAAAUAUGCUAAAGGUGGGUCCAAGUUUCUCCACCAAUACCUUGAACGAAAAGUGUUAAAACACUAGAAGCUCCUCGAGAGGUACGAUUUUCAUCACCGUAAUCCUCCAACCCAAUAAUCCAGUCCCUAUUUCUCUCAUACUGAAGGUGAAUUUUCAGAGACAUUUCGUCACAGCAUAUCGAAACAUAUCUCUGUGCGUCAGUGAAACCACGGCUUCUCAAUUCCAGGGCUUUAAUGCUGCUAAAAUUGCAGCCAGCGAUACGUGGCCAACCCUGAACAAAUUCUUCGAGGGUCACUUGCGAUGGCCAAUUAAAAAUGGGCUGUAAAUACCUGAACGCAAUAGGUGAUAAAAAUUUUACAUCCAGAGCUAAUGUUUUUAAUUCCCUAUCAUAUCUAUAACGCUUCGAAGUACGGGGUGCAUUUUUUAAACAAUUUCUCACACAUAUCGCAAGAUGUGAAGGAAGUUUGCCGCAUAGCUCUGAAAUUUAUCUAUUUUCUUCCUGCCCUACUAUAGACAAAUUUUUAUUAUUUUCUAAAAUUUCUAUUUUAUUCUCUAAAGCUCUCACCUUAUUGCGUAAAAAUUUUAUUUCCUGCGAUUUUUUGUCUAACUUCUCCCGAUACAUUCUUUUUCUAGGUGUCCCUUCUGUUAAAUAUUCAUCUGCUUGCGUUUGCCUACUAUUUGCCCAAGUGUUAACUAUUUGAGAGUUACCUAAAGAGGAAGAAUAUGUAUGAUCUUCAUUAUAUAGGGGUUGAAGGGAUUUACCCAAAGUCUCAACUUCAAACAUAUUAGUGUUUGAAGUCGAGACAGUUCUAAUUGGAGAAGAGCUAAGAUGCAUCGGGUUAAAAUCUGCACUACCUAAUUCUAUAAUGUCUUGUUCGUGUUGGUCAAAUACACUACCUACUUGUCCACUACAACCUAUUGCCUUAUCUACUCUAGCUGAUCUGGAGAUAAGCCGUCCCUUCCUCAUCUUUAAAGAGAAAUGUCUUUGGCACGCAAAUAAAUAUUUAGCCGUCGGAUUUGUUACGUCCAACAGCUUGAUCCAUUCGUGCCGCCUAGUUGAAAUUAAACAAAAAAUACGUACAUUAACUAAACUAGUAAACUAACAAUUUAAAAAUAAACAGUUGCAUCAAAAAUAUCACAACGACAAUACAAUAUUAGAAACAAAACUAUUAAUUUAAUCUUUGAUUUAUAUGAUUUAUGCUUUUGAAUGAACUAUAUGAAAGAAUUAUAAUAACUAUUAUAAUUUAAAGAGUCGGUUAAACAUCUGCAUACAGUUUCUAAUAGUUUGGCGGGGUACUAGUUAUGACGUAUAUAUAUAGUUACAAUAAAAUAGUAGUAGUAUUUAUACACGCAUGUUUGUAAAAUAAAUAUGAAUUCAUUAUAACGUUGAGAACAAAUAAAUUGGUUGUCUCUAUUUCUAUUACGUUUAUAUUUAUCAUAUAUACAUAUGUAUGUAAAGCAAGUGGCUUCAUAUUGUUCGAGAUCGAAAAAAUAAAAACACGCGGGUUAAUAUAAACAAAUA
rnacentral:lncRNA from 1 species